rnacentral:rRNA from 1 species
AUUGAACGCUGGCGGCAGGCCUAACACAUGCAAGUCGAACGGUAACAGGAAGAAGCUUGCUUCUUUGCUGACGAGUGGCGGACGGGUGAGUCAUGUCUGGGAAACUGCCUGAUGGAGGGGGAUAACUACUGGAAACGGUAGCUAAUACCGCAUAACGUCGCAAGACCAAAAAGGGGGACCUUCGGGCCUCUUGCCAUCGGAUGUGCCCAGAUGGGAUUAGCUAGUAGGUGGGGUAACGGCUCACCUAGGCGACGAUCCCUAGCUGGUCUGAGAGGAUGACGCGCCACACUGGAACUGAGACACGGUCCAGACUCCUACGGGAGGCAGAAGUGGGGAAUAUUGCACAAUGGGCGCAAGCCUGAUGCAGCCAUGCCGCGUGUAUGAAGAAGGCCUUCGGGUUGUAAAGUACUUUCAGCGGGGAGGAAGGGAGUAAAGUUAAUACCUUUGCUCAUUGACGUUACCCGCAGAAGAAGCACCGGCUAACUCCGU